GAUCAUGGAUCAGGAUGAACGCCGGCGGCGUGCCUAAUACAUGCAAGUCGAGCGGGGCCCGCAAGGGUCCAGCGGCAAACGGGUGAGUAACACGUUGGUAACCUGACCCUCGGAUCGGAAUACCGGGGAGAAAUCUCCGCUAAUGCCGGAUAUGUGCGCCUGGCUCGGGCCGGGCGGACGAAAGGGGGCCGAAAGGCCUCGCCGGGGGAUGGGCCUGCGGCGCAUCAGCCAGUUGGCGGGACAAAGGCCCACCAAAGCG
rnacentral:rRNA from 1 species